GACGAACGCUGGCGGCGUGCCUAAUACAUGCAAGUCGAGCGGACAGAAGGGAGCUUGCUCCCGGAUGUUAGCGGCGGACGGGUGAGUAACACGUGGGUAACCUGCCUGUAAGACUGGGAUAACUCCGGGAAACCGGAGCUAAUACCGGAUAGUUCCUUGAACCGCAUGGUUCAAGGGUGAAAGACGGUUUCGGCUGUCACUUACAGAUGGACCCGCGGCGCAUUAGCUAGUUGGUGAGGUAACGGCUCACCAAGGCGACGAUGCGUAGCCGACCUGAGAGGGUGAUCGGCCACACUGGGACUGAGACACGGCCCAGACUCCUACGGGAGGCAGCAGUAGGGAAUCUUCCGCAAUGGACGAAAGUCUGACGGAGCAACGCCGCGUGAGUGAUGAAGGUUUUCGGAUCGUAAAGUUCUGUUGUUAGGGAAGAACAAGUGCAAGAGUAACUGCUUGCACCUUGACGGUACCUAACCAGAAAGCCACGGCUAACUACGUGCCAGCAGCCGCCGUAAAAC
rnacentral:rRNA from 1 species